GACGAACGCUGGCGGCGUGCUUAACACAUGCAAGUCGUACGGAAAGGCCCUGGCUUUGGUUGGGGUGCUCGAGUGGCGAACGGGUGAGUAACACGUGGGUGAUCUGCCCUGCACUUUGGGAUAAGCCUGGGAAACUGGGUCUAAUACUGGAUAGGACCAUACUUUUGUGUGUCCUGGUGGAAAGGCUUCUUUUUGGGGCUGGUGUGGGAUGAGCUUGCGGCCUAUCAGCUUGUUGGUGGGGUAAUGGCCUACCAAGGCGUCGACGGGUAGCCGGCCUGAGAGGGUGUACAGCCACAGUGGGACUGAGAUACGGCCCAGACUCCUGCGGGAGGCAGCAGUGGGGAAUAUUGCACAAUGGGCGCAAGCCUGAGGCAGCGAAGCCGCGUGGGGGAUGACGGCCUUCGGGUUGUAAACCUCUUUCGCUGGGGACGAAGCUUUUUUUGGUGACGGUACCUGGAGAAGAAGCACCGGCUAACUACGUG
rnacentral:rRNA from 1 species